rnacentral:rRNA from 1 species
AGUCGAGGGGCAGCAUAGUAGCAAUACUGAUGGCGACCGGCGCACGGGUGCCUAACGCGUAUGCAACCUACCUUUUACAGUGGGAUAGCCCGGCGAUAUCCGGAUUAACACCGCAUAAUAUAUUGAGAUGGCAUCAUUUUAAUAUUAAACAUUUAUGGGUAAAAGAUGGGCAUGCGUCCAAUUAGCUAGUUGGUGGUGUAACGGACCACCAAGGCUAUGAUUGGUAGGGGUUCUGAGAGGAAGGUCCCCCACACUGGUACUGAGAUACGGACCAGACUCCUACGGGAGGCAGCAGUAGGGAAUAUUGGGCAAUGGAGGAGACUCUGACCCAGCCAUGCCGCGUGCAGGAAGAAGGCCUUCUGGGUUGUAAACUGCUUUUGAUCGGGAACAAAGAGGCCAUGCGUGGCAAGUUGAGUGUACCGAUAGAAUAAACACCGGCUAACUCCGUGCCAGCAGCCGCGGUGAUACGGAGGGUGCAAGCGUUGUCCGGAUUUAUUGGGUUUAAAGGGUGCGUAGGCGGCCCUGUAAGUCAGUGGUGAAAUACUGCAGCUUAACUGUAGCAUUGCCAAUGAUACUGUAGGGCUUGAGUACAGAUGAGGUAGGCGGAAUUGAUGGUGUAGCGGUGAAAUGCAUAGAUACCAUCAAGAACACCGAUUGCGAAGGCAGCUUACUAAGCUGUAACUGACGCUGAGGCACGAAAGCGUGGGGAUCGAACAGGAUUAGAUACCCUGGUAGUCCACGCCGUAAACGAUGAUUACUCGAUGUUCGCGAUAUACAGUGAGCGUCCAAGCGAAAGCGUUAAGUAAUCCACCUGGGGAGUACGCUCGCAAGAGUGAAACUCAAAGGAAUUAUCGGGGGUCCGCACAAACGGUGGAGCAUGUGGUUUAAUUCGAUGAUACGCGAGGAACCUUACUUGGACUAGAAUGUGAGGGAGUUAUACUGAGAUGUGUAAUCCAGCAAUGGCCCGAACCAAGGUGCUGCAUGGCUGUUGUCAGCUCGUCCCGUGAGGUGUUGGGUUAUUAUAGGCGGGGAGUGCACCCCCUCUCUUUAGUUAUCAGCAUGUAAUGAUGGGGACUCUAAAGAGUCGGCCUGCGUAAGCAGUGAGGAAGGAGGGGACGACGUC